rnacentral:rRNA from 1 species
CCUACGGGUGGCAGCAGUCGAGAAUCAUGCACAAUGGGGGAAACCCUGAUGGAGCGACGCCGCGUGGGGGAAUGAAGGUCUGCGGAUUGUAAACCCCUGUCAUGUGGGAGCAAAUUAAAAAGAUAGUACCACAAGAGGAAGAGACGGCUAACUCGGUUCCAGCAGCCGCGGUAAUACAGAGGUCUCAAGCUUUGUUCGGAAUCACUGGUCGUAAAGCGUGCGUAGGCGGUUUCGUAAGUCGUGGGUGAAAGGCGCGGGCUCAACCCGCGGACGGCACUGGAUACUGGGAGACUAGAGUAAUGGAGGGGGAACCGGAAUUCUCGGUGUAGCGGUGAAAUGCGUAGAUAUCGAGAGGAACACUCGUGGCGAAGGCGGGUUCCUGGACAUUAACUGACGCUGAGGCACGAAGGCCAGGGGAGCGAAAGGGAUUAGAUACCCCUGUAGUC